CUCAUUUGUGGCUUUAAGUAGUGACCAAAUUGGCUAAAAGUCCCAAAGAUAAAACAUGUUUGACACGUUGCUUCAGGAGGAAGUUUGGAACACUUGGUGAACUUCUUGAGAAAUAAGUAAGUGGGCACCCACAAGAUACUACAAGCUAUUGGAGGCGUUCAGUAUAUCAAAUCAGAAAAUUGAGCAAAGUACUGAGGAUCACAGAGGACAGAUCAGUCAACUCUGCCUGUGAUAUUCAUAAACAAAGUCUUCAUAGAAGAGUCAUACACAUUCAGUGGAAGAAAGAUGUUUAAUCAACUGCACUCAGGAGACUCUCUUAAAGUUAACGGUCUGGUCUUGGAAGAAGGGAUAAACACCACCGUUAGAAGAAGUUGGAGCCUGCUGCCAGUGAUGUUUACAAAGCACGUUGGACUGGACGCGGGGGUAAAGCUACAUGGUGCUAGCCCACGAAGAUGUCAGCCUGAAGGUGAAGGGGGCCUGGAGUUUGCCCAGCUGAGA